UGAAUGGUUGGACGAAAUAUUAACUGUUUCAUAAAAAUUUAUAAUAGAAUUUUAUUUUUUAGUUAAAAAGCUAAAAUUUAUUUAAAAGACGAGAAGACCCUAUAAAUCUUUAUAUUUAAUUUAUUAUAAUUAAAUAGAUUAAUUUUAUUAUAAUAAUAAAUAAUAUUUUAUUGGGGUGAUAUUAAAAUUUAAUAAACUUUUAAUUAUUUAAAUCAUUAAUUUAUGACUAGUUGAUCCGUUAUUAACGAUUAAAAAAAUAAGUUACUUUAGGGAUAACAGCGUAAUUUUUUUGGAGAGUUCAUAUUGAUAAAAAAGAUUGCGACCUCGAUGUUGGAUUAAGAUAUAGUUUUAGGUGUAGUCGCUUAAAUUUUAAGUCUGUUCGACUUUUAA
rnacentral:rRNA from 1 species